rnacentral:rRNA from 1 species
AACGAACGCUGGCGGCAUGCCUAACACAUGCAAGUCGAACGGGAUCCUGGUUUCGGCCAGGUGAGAGUGGCGGACGGGUGAGUAACGCGUGGGAACCUGCCCAGUGGUGGGGGAGUAACUGCGGGAAACGUGCAGCUAAUACCGCAUGAGCCCGAAAGGGGAAAGGAUUGAUCGCCAUUGGAGGGGCCCGCGUUCGAUUAGGUAGUUGGUGAGGUAACGGCUCACCAAGCCUU